ensembl:lncRNA
UGUUAAUGGAGUAUGGGUAUUUUGCCUUUUCAGUUCAAUUUUAUAUAAAAUAUCUAUUUUUUAUACUGUAUUUGUAUACUUAUGAAUAAUUAGUUGUGUUUGUGUUUUAGAAUGAUGUAUUAUGUGUGAGAAGCUGUUGUAGGAAGGAAGUCACAUGCUUCAAAAGGAAGUGACUUGAACAAGAAAUAUUAAUGAUUCAUUCAAACCCGAAUGAUUCAUUCACUUAAAUGAUUCGAUCAAAAACGAAACUGCUUGCCAGCAGUCAAUUCAAACUCAAAUCUACUUUAAAUUAGGUGGUGUUUUAAGUUAUACAUUUCAUUUAUUCUUUUUAUACAUAUUGUUUUAUUUAAUGCAUAAUGAAACCUUGUAACGAUUACUUAUUUUAUAAUGAAACCCGAUUUUAAGGAAUGAGAGAAUAAACAUGCUGUGUACUUUUAUAAUAACGUUACUGCUCUACCUUGCAUUUGUCCACAUUGCAGGUGUCCACACAUGCAUCUAUCUUCCAAAGGUCAUCAAAAGUUGCAUAACAGGCAGACAACUUAUACUUGAAUGUAUGAAUGGUCCAUUUUAUGGGAAGCUGAUAACACAAAUCAAUCUCAAAUCCAGCUAUGGUGAACAAUAGAAAGAAGCCAGACUGUAGCAAAACCAAAAUCGACAUAGAUCAAAAAUCCUAUACUGUGUUUGGAUGUCAAUUCUAGCUCACUGAAUACUGCACAGUCCUUCAAAAACAGUAAGUAAAACAGUUUCAAAACAUAGUAUGCUACAUAAUUGUCACAUGAUUUACAUUACGUGCGUGUAAUGCAUCUGGGAAGUAUGGGUAUUUUGCCUUUUCAGUUCAAUUUUAUAUAAAAUAUCUAUUCUUUAUACUGUAUUUGUAUACUUAUGAAUAAUUAUAAAAUAAUUUCACCUUUUUAACAUCUCUUUUUCACACAAUAUUUGGCCUGAUUGACAGUAAGGUCAAUCAGGUCAAAUAUUUCAUCACACUGUAAAUGGAAUGUCAAGUCAAACACAUUGCAUUGUGGGAUACACAAUAUUACACUACAGUAUAGAUCAAGUACAGGACUGUAGGUGGGGGGAGUGAAUAACCAGUACUCUCUCCACCUUCAAUACCACGACUGAUGUGAAACCCUUCCCUUGAGCAAGACACCGAACCCCCCACUGC